AUUGAACGCUGGCGGCAGGCCUAACACAUGCAAGUCGAGCGAGCGGCGGACGGGUGAGUAAUGUAUGGGGACUGCCCGAUAGAGGGGGAUAACUACUGGAAACGGUGGCUAAUACCGCAUACUAUCGGAUAACCCAUAUGGGAUUAGCUAGUAGGUGGGGUAUAGGCUCACCUAGGCGACGAUCUCUAGCUGGUCUGAGAGGAUGAUCAGCCACACGGGAACUGAGACACGGCCAAGACUCCUACGGAGGCAGCAGUGGGGAAUAUUGCACAAUGGGCGCAAGCCGGAUGCAGCCAUGCGGCGUGUAUGAAGAAGGCCUUAGGGUUGUAAAGUACUUUAAGCGAGGAGGCGUUACCCGCAGAAGAAGCACCGGCUAACUCCGUGCCAGCAGCCGCGGUAAUUC
rnacentral:rRNA from 1 species